GGCGCCGUAGCUCAGCGUGGUAGAGCAGCAGGCUGUUAACCUGUUGGUCGUCGGUUCGAGUCCGACCGGCGCCGCCA
rnacentral:tRNA from 1 species